GUCCCUGUGGAGCAAGGCAGCUCACUCCCUGUGUAUAAGAGGUCUUGGUAUGAUACAAGGGAGAGAUGGUGGUUCGAAUCUACCCGGGGACG